CAUUACGCUACAUUAAAUAGUUACUGGUUGAGCACUAGGACCAAGCGGAAAACAAUCGCUUGUGUUGAAGCCUGUUUCCUAUAGAGAGUCUAAGUCACUUCUGCAUCAUGGGUCCCCGAAAGAAUGAAAAAAAGAAUGCAAGUCAAUGGGGCUAAAACCGUUAUUUUUUAAUUCCGCUUGUUUUGUGCCAUGGAUUUCACAUAUGAUGUCCGGGAAUUUUAAAAACACAUUUUGAUACCAAGGACGCGCUUAUUUUUGAACAGGGGGAAACACAAUUUUAGGUUUUGUGUGAAAAUUAUUCCAGAAGUACAAAUGCGCUUCACGAAAGUGACGUCACUGAACCAGACAUGGAGAAAACUGAGGGAAAAGGGCUGUAAGUUCAGCAAACUUCCCACAGGAAGAAAGAAACACCAUAAAUCUGGUCAUUUGGUUACUAGCAGCUACUUUGGGAGUGCCGAUUUCUAGUUUGUAUUCAUGCUAAUUAUGAACUUUUACAAGCUGAUAAAUCUCAAAGUACAUGACUGGCGUGGUCGAAACACCCAUCAUUACUUUCAUUUAAAUUGCAGUACAACAUAUGUGUGAUCCAGGGCGUAAGUCAAAGCGGGUUAGAAAAUAGUGUUUUUUGCCCCGUUGACUUGCAUUCUUUUUGCAUUCUUCUGGGGACCCGUGGUGCUAUUAUAGAAUAAUAUAAUAGAACCGUCCAUAAACUCAUCUAUUGACUCAGCUGAGACUUGCUAUCGUGUGAUUGGCUGUUCCUGCCACCUGUGUACUUGACAGUUCUGCAUUCCUGAAUUGCAUAAAAUGCCUCUAAGCUGUAGUUUUAUACAUAUUUUGUGUAUACCUACUUUGGUCCAUGUCACAGUCUUGGUUCAUUUACAUUUUUCACCAAAUUAUCUAAACGGGUGUCUUUUAUGGGAUGUUUCCAACAUUAGUAUCUUAUUGUUGUGCCUUUGUUCCCAAAACAAAAAAGACAAUUGUUUUGAAAUGUUGCUGUAGGGCUAAAAUUUUGCAUGUCCAUUUCUCAUUAUUUACAUGUUUUUACAUAAGCUGUAUUGGUCAACCUUCACAUUACCACUGGAUUUUUGGAUGAAUUGUCAAUAAAAAGUGAAAAAGGACACUUGCAAUAACAUGGAGUUUAUUUACUGUAUUUGUUUACAAAGUUGCUUUUUAACUUCCUGAAAAUUUCCAUUUAUUGAGAUGAGAGGUUUUUGCCCGACAGCGACAAAAAAAAAAAAAAUGGCAAAUUGUUUGAUUUAUCUAAUAUUUAAACGUAAAGAAAUUAACUGCUGUCCUUCCAGCUUUUGCUCUGCAUGUUUAUCUUUUAAAAGUAAAGUUCAACAGAUCUCUGUCUAAUGAGGAUGGACGAGUGUUGACCUGUGAGCAUGUUUCUGAGCCUCCUGCUCAGAAUCAUCCAUGCUCUGUAAAUAAAUACUUAUUAGUGCACUCAUUUUUAAUUAACCGUCUCCAAACAUUAAUUAGCAUAAUGAUUUUUAUUAAUAUGGAAGUGGGCCACCAUCAUCCCUCGUUAAGUGAAUGAAAUGCCGACUUGUUUGGUGUCCUUGAAUUGAUUUGGUGUGACAUGAUAGAUGGAGAGAAAAAAAGCACAAGGAUAGAAGGUUAAAUAUGCAAAUGAAAUGUAGCAGAACUAAAUAAGUAAAAACAAGUUUAUUCUUCUGAAGUAACAUGCAGACUGAUGUGUUUGAUGUUUUUAGUCCUUUGAGACUUCAAACUUGAAGGUGGGACUUUGAAGUUUCUCAGGAAAUAACCUUAGGCAUUUGUCUGACAUUCCUCUUGACUGUAUAUAAACAAAAAGUUAAGAAACUGUUUAUUAAAAUAACAAAUCUAAAACUACACACGAGUCCAGAUGGAAAAGAGAUGUUAGGUAUAAUAUUUGGACCUUUUUGACAGGAAAUAAUUGGCUUUUCCUGCACUUUUAAUGGCACUGUACUUCAUUUCAUCUGUGAACAUUUUGUUAAAUUCAUUUUGAAAAAAGCAAAGAGCAGUGGAUUGCAGUCAUUUAAAAAUUCCACCCGUAUCUUUCUCACAGCUAAGGCCAUUACAGGGGACUCUGCUUCAUCAGCUGAAUUCUGGGGGCCUGGAAGAAUAUUAUCUGGCUGGCCUAUGCUCCCAAUCAUAUAGCUGUGUACUGUUAAAAGCAGACAUUUUAUUGUCUCACACGGGUGAUAAAAAGCAGCCUGUGAAGGUUGGACAGUUAGAUUAAAUAGUCGAGAGAUGGGAUGGCAAAUUUCAAAUGUGAAGUUUGGAAAAGUAAGAAACAUGAAAAAGGGAAAGAUUUUAUCAUUUGGUGGUCAGAUUUGCAAGAAUCAGUUUGAUUGAAAGGAAGUUGAGGACACGUUUAAAGAAACUUUCUGCAGAAAACUUCAUGAUUCUGUCCAUGACCCAAAUGAAAUAGCUAAACUCCAUUAAAAGAUCAGUAUUGCAAGCCGUUUCUUAGGUGAUGUUUUUGUACAUUUUGCGAAUUUACAUUCAUCUUAAAUUUCUUGUUCUCUUCAUGAAAAACGGGCAUUGACAGAUUUCUAUCAUUCAACCUUCCAAGUAACACUCUUUGAGCUAUUUGACCAUUUUAAACAGAAGUGGAAAAACUGACUUUAACCAUCAAUAAUGGUGCUGGUUAUUGCUGAGCGGUUUCUUCUGUAACAAUGUAGGAUUUGUCAGGUAAUACAGUCCAAAGUGGGAAAGAAUACCUGCACCAUUCUAAUAAAUACACAUUUUAUGAUACGAGUGAAAGUAAAACAGAAAAUUGCACAUGAGGGGAUUGACAUGAGACCAUCUGAGAAGGUCACCAGCUCCCCAGGACCCUGAGCAGGAAUAAGCAGCUCUAGAAGAACAUCUGACGGGUUACAUUGUCACAGAAAACUUGUAGUCAUUGUGUAAAAACAGCAUGGAGACUCUUACACCUGGACCUAAACUAUGUGUAAUCACAGUUCUGUAUUAUUCAGUUACAGUUUUUUUUUAUUACAAAAACACAUUUUUCAAAACUGUACGUUUCUUUCAAAACUGCACACAAAAAACUCAGACAUAACACACAAAUUCCUAAACCGUGGCUUCCCUUUGCAACAAAACCCAGCCAUCACAUAGCGUAAUAUGUUCCCAAAAUGGACCACGUGUUUUCAUUUGGUAAACACAGCCACAUUUUCACAUGACACACACAUACCAUUCAUUGCUUAAACACAAGUAGCCUUUGGGUGGAACAUCGGCAUAUACAUAUAUGGACAAUGGGUUUCCAUAGCCUCCAAUAACACGUUUUGUAAGAAAAGUGGGAGGUGGUCACCACCGCCAUUUUGACCGUGUCACAGAUUCCAUCAAGCCCAGACAAUUCCACAAAAGGGAAGAGAGGUGGAGCUGAGGGUGGGGCUGUAAGGCUGGGAUCAACUGACGACACCCGGUUGAACUAGCUACAAGCUAACCUGAAGCUAAUCCAAAGUUAACACGGAGGUGGGAGCUAAGCUAACGGAGGUAGCAACCUAGCUACAACUGGAGUUAACUGUGCACAACACCAGAGCUUCUGAGUCAGAGAUACGCCGGGCUGACCACUGGGUAAAAGCAGGUGGAACACAGAGGCCUCCCGAGAGCUCCACAAGCCGGCAGCCUCACAGCAGACAAGCGCCGCUGCGAUCUGAGAUGCGCAGAGCUGCCGCUGGGGAGAACCGGGUGGAAAGGUUUCCAUCCCAGACCUCCACGAUCCGACAGCCCGCGCAGCAGACAGAAGCCAUGAUCAGACAGAGAUGCGCCAAGCUGCGGGGAGGGGAGAACGAGGUCUCCCGAGACCUCCACAAGCUGACAGUCGGAACCCAGCUCCACCAACAUGUUAUAUUUCAACCCAUUUUCUAAAGUGCAGCAUUAUGUUAAAUACACUGGGUUUUACCCUAUUACAUUUAAAUUUCAUGGUAAAACAGUACAUGUUAAAAUCUAAGCUCAGCUCGGCAGUGACCUAAAAUACAUAAAUAUAAUUUUACUUACCGAAAAAAAAUGAAGUGGAGACUCCUUAGAUGCUCUAUUAAUGCAAUUAAUGCCACAGCAAGUCAUUUUGUCCAACAAUUGCACAAAUAAUAUCCAAAAAAGAAUACACAAACACAGAGACUCAAAGUCCCAAAACAGUUUCCAAGCCAGACUGAGGCUCUACUGAGGCCUUUCCACGGAGCUAGCUCUGUGGUCACGUGGGUCUGAGGCGGCGGUCACGUGGGUCGGAUGCCCAUUAAUUAUACAGAAUUUUAGGCUUUUAAUACACUUAAACAGAACAGUGAGAAAAAAAUUCACCCCCCUCAGAGUUGCCAUGAGUGUAAACUAGAUCAGUUAAAGAGCAAGUAACGUCUAAAUUAACUUUUUUUUUUGCUGAUAAACUGUAUAAAUGAGUGUCUAAUAGUGUUUAAAAUGUGUGUAUUCAUUAUUUUAGCAUUUUGGUGCAUUUUCUUUAAAAAUUAAAAAUUCUGCCUAAAUACCACAGCAUAACGCCACCUUCAGCUUAAAACAUAAAAUGUGAGUCAAUUUGAAUACACUUUAGCCAAUGGCUUAAGAGAAAGAUACUACGUAAACCAGUAGAGUACUACGUAGCAGCUCUGUGUCAAAGUUAUAAAAGCAUCAAGAGUCUCGGCCAUGCCUUGUGGCGAGUUGGGAGUUGGAUUUGCAAGCGAGUGUAGGACGGUUUGCGGUAGUUCAGCAGUAGCAUAUAGCAUUAGCAUAUCCUAAUCUUUAGCAUAGCUUUUAGUGUUAUACAUACUUAUUUUGUGUUAGCUUGGCUGUUGGAUAUUGUAGUUUAGUUAGUGUUUAGCUGUUAGUGUUAUUAGGAAAGUAGUACGGGUUUAGUGUUCCAUGUCGUGUUAGUAUGGUGAGAAAGUGUAGUGUAGUAUGGUUGCGGUGGCUCUGUGGGGUUGCACUCCUUUCUACUGGACUUAGAAAUUAGGCGCCAGUGAUUGCGCGCAAUCGGUGUACUGGAAAAUAGUCAGCUCCCGCCUAGUACUGUAGUUUGCAACCAGCAUUUUUCCCACGAUUUCUUCGCCAACAUGAUGGAGUUUGAACUGGGUUAUUCUGCACGUCUCCGUUUGAAGAGGGAGGCCGUGCCCACCGUGGCUCUUUUAGAUGCAGCCCACCAACUCUACUCCCCCACCAUGGCGGGCUCCAGUCUGAGGUGAGUAAGCUAAAUAAAAAUUUUAACAUCUUCUAAAGACAAUUCCCUACCUAAAUGCAAAGUUUGAGAGAUGCGGUUCACGUCAUUUAGCUAAUAUCAGUCUGCACUGCCUUUGGGCUGAUUAGUCAAGUUCACAAAAUGUGGAACGGGAUGUAAGAUUAGAAUCAGCAGCGAAUCGGAACAUAUCUCGAAGCCCUGACCGACGAAACGGUCCACAUGACUACUACUGUCAAGCUCGGAGAAAAUUCGUGUUGUUUUUGUGUCAGUCGGUAAUUCUGCAACAGUGACUCUAACUAACGCAGCACUAGCUGACAGACAGCAUUACAGCGUGAAAUCCAGCUUUACACCAAAGCGUGACCCGGUUCUGUAAGGAAUUCUGUUCAGGAGGUCGCAUUUCAAGCUCUCCACAUCAUAUGUGACUGACUUUUACGUUAUAAUAAUGAUCACACACUAGGAAUGUUAUAAAACGCCUAUAUAGGACAGUUUAUUUUGUAUAUUAUCUAUGACUUUACAAACUCCAACAACAAUGUGCUUCUAUUUUUUUUUCAGGCUAAAUCUACCCAAGACGUUGGCUGUCAGACUGAUUUAGUAGUCUGCAAGAAUGCACUUGUCCAGGCUGACGUGAAGCCUUACCGGCGUAACAAAGUUUAAUUACUUUUAAUAAUCGUCUAUGUAAACAUUUUAUUAUCACCUUCUAGUUUUAAUUUGUUUUACAGAUUAUGUUACACGUGAUUUUAUGCUCUUUUAAACAUUUAUAAAUGUGCUGCUUCUUUGUUUUUUACAUAGCCACCCAGUUUAGAGCUCACAGCCGCAGUGUGUCUUGUGACAGGGACCAUGACGGAAAUUCAUCUUCCAGAAAGUCCCAGAGCAGCGUCCACACCCCUGAAAAGACCAAGAUGUGAGGUGUCUGCUGUUGAUUCCAGCUUCCACCUCAGUGACAGUGCAAGCUCAGUGAACUGUUCAAGGAGGCUACUGAUUCUGGCCCUGUGACGCUUGGUGGUGAUGUGUGAGCUGAUUCACCUGGACACUCAGCAAAAUAUGGACUCUACACCAUGAGGCAGGCACACGUUAAUACUCUAUAAGAGCACAUAAGCAUGAGGAUGUCCUCACACACCUGUAACCUAUCAGCUCAUCUGGCAGAAUAGAGAGAGAAGAGACAACACCACAUCUCCUGUUCCUGGAAAGCCUCCGGCCAUCCUUCGAUGACUGAGAAUCUCCAUCAGCUCUGUCUCCUGUCUGCCUUCAAUUAUUAUAAUAAAUAUUGUGUUUGACAAGUUUUUUGUGAUUCUAAAAUGUCUCAUUUUGAUUUCAGUUUUUAUAUUUUAAUGGAUAUUUAUAAAUUACAUUAAUUGAAUUACCACAUUGUUGCAUGCUUAACUAGCUCUAUUGUGAUGAAUUAAACUAGCACCUCACUGUUAAAAGCUCGUUUUAAUUUCAAGCAUGUUUAAGUAUUUAUGGACAUGAACAAAAACAGGAAAUAUAUAAAUUGAGAUUUAUUUAAUUAAUAUAAAAAAUAAGGGGGAAAGAGUCAUUGAAAGGCACAUUCUUCUGGAAGCUCCUGAUCCUGACCACACCAGCAGAGGAGACCACCUGCAGACACCAGAGGAUCACCUACGACCAAGAGAGCAGCUGGUAUCAGUAAAUAAAUAAUGAAAUCAGGCCAGUUUUAGUGGGCUGUUUGGGAUUGUGUAACAUACAUGAACACAUUACAGAAUAAUUUUCUCAUGGGGUAUUUUCAUAACUUUCUCUGCAGCAGACUGUAACUUAAGCCCAGGGCUCCUAGAGAGCUGCUAUCCAGCAAAUUUAAGUGGUUUUCCUGCUUUAACAGAUUAGAUUAGCUGUUAAGCAGCUCAACCUUUUGUUGCUGAUUAAAACCAGGUGCGUUGAAGCAGAUAAAUCUAUAAAACAUGCUGAAUACUAGCUCUCUAGGGCCAUGGAGCCAAACCCUGCAGCUAAUCUAAUGCUAUGGCGAACGGCUACUUACCAUUCAGAGCUGGUUCUGUUGGGUCGGUUCCGGUAGUUUCAGGCAACUCACAAGCUCAAAACAAUAAGGCUCAGGUCCGCUUGUCUCCUCCAAAUAGACUUGGUCCCUUUCUUCUCGAGCGUCUGGUUAAGGAGGGGGAGAAACGUCCUCCACUUCUAAUGACUGCUCAGAGUGAAGGGAGCUAGCAUCGUCUCGUUACCUAUCGUCUUCGUCACUGCCGCGGCUCCGCCCUCUCGGUCCGCCAGGCAACACCUACUAAUGUUGCAGUUUUUAAAAUUGAUACGUGGGUGGAAAAGGACUCUGAGGCACACUUGACCUGCUCUUUAAACCUAAAACAUGUUUUGGUACCAGGCUGUAAACAUGUUUAUUUCUGCUGUGAAAUUGGUAUUUUUAACAUGGGAGUCAAUGAGGAUUUGCUCGCUUCUGUCACCAGCCCCCAGCGGAUGAGGGUGGAACUGCAAUUUUUGUCACUUACGCGUUGGCCUUAAUUUUUCACCCGCAUUGUGGGGGCUUGGGGUGAACACUACCAAGCAUGGAAAGAACACUGAAGAGCUAAACUGAAACACAAUUGUCUAAAUGGAACACAAUGAAUUACACACUGAAUGUAUGACAGUGCCCAAUUUUCUCUGAGACAAACAAUAGACAUCACACAAAUUUUGAGACAAAACAUUUAAUUUUUACAGUGAAGUUAAAGUUAGAUUAAAGGCAGAGAAUAAAUGAGGUCAGGCCAGGUUAUAGCUUGCACUCCUCUUUUACUUUUUGGAACGAAUUGCACACUUUGAAUGAUAUUUUUGCAAGAAUAUCACCUAAUUUCAUGUUGCCAGAGCAUCAUUUAGCAGACUUUUACCUUGAUGCUUCCAAAUCACGUUGACUCUAUUUUUCACAUGAAUGUUUGCUCCAAACAAGAUUUAUCAAUUUGGGUUUGAUUAAAAACAUGCUCUCAUUUUUAUCUACCGGUAUGUUAUUUAUUUAAAGCCUUUGAAAGUGUCUGAAGAACUUUUCUAGCUUGCUGAUCUUAAAUGUUCACACAGUAACACUUUACAAUUUGUUUUUGGUCUUAAAUGUUUUCCUCUUAUGUAUUUAUCUGUGUGAAGCAGCUGGGAUGCAGCUCCUCUAAAUCUGAGACCAUGGUCUUGAUUCUGAAAAAGUUAGAAUGCCUUAUCCGGGUCAGGGACAAGGUCCUGCCUAAAGCAUCUCAAGGUCUUGUUCAUGAAUGAAGGAAAGCUGGAGCGCGAGAUCGACAGGUGGAUUGGUGCUUCGUCUGCAGUGAUGCAGGCGUUGUACUGGUCUGUCGUGGUGAAGAGAGAGCUUAGUCAGUAGGCAAAGCUCGAUUUAAUGGUCGAUCUACAUUCCUACCCUCACCUAUGGUCCCAAGAUUUGGGUAAUGACCAAAAGAACGCGAUUGCAGAUACAAGUGGCCGAAAUUAUUUUUAUUCGCAUGGUGGCUGGGCUCUCCCUUAGAGAUAGGGUGAGAAGCUAGGUAAUCUGGGAGAGUCUCUGAGAAGACCCGCUGCUCUUCCACUUUGAGAGGAGCCAGUUGAGGUGGCUUGAUUAGGAUGCCUCCUGGACGCCUCCAUGGUGAAGUUCUCUGGGCACGUCCAACUGGGAGGAGACCUUAAGGGAGACCCAGGGAACGUCUUAGGAUUCCCCCAGAGGAGCUGGCCCAAGUGGCUGGGGAGAGGGAGGUCUGGGCCUCAUGACUUAGGCUGUUGCCCCCGAAACCCGGCUACGAAUAAGCUGAAGAAAGUGGAUGGAUAGAUGGAUGGAUUUAUCUGUAUGACUGUUACAAAUUUUUGAUAAAUGUCUUUGUAAAAUAUCUUCAUCAUAUAUUUUCUGUUUUCUCUUGCAGUUCUUUUUCAGAUAACAUAAUGGCAAAAUACGUGAAAACAUGUACAGUCCAUUCAGCAGCAACUGAGGAUUUUUUUUGACAAAGUCCUAAACCUAGGCCCCCUUGCCAGCAGAACCCCAAAACAACAUCCCAUCCAAUCCACAAAACCUGGAGAGCACAUUUGCUCCCAGCAAAAAAUCUACAUAUUUCUGUGCUUACAUAGAGAGACUAAGUUCAAACUAUGCUCGACUGGUCUCUCAAGGCAAAAGAAAGAAAAAAACCCUCUCUCAGCCCGACAACAAUGGCUAAUCAGGAACAGUCCCAACACAUCCACAACAAUGAACAAUGAAAAAAAUGAAAUAAACAGAACAAAAUCAAAUCUGACUUGAAGCCAUUUCACCAGUAAAAACUGUCCCGGUGUCUGGCCAAGGCACCAGCCAGAACAUAACCGCCACCAGCAUUUGUUAAACAAAAACAUUAUGUCCUGAAGGGUUUCUGACCUGCACAUCCUCCACCCCAAGACAGCCCCAGCUCAGAAGCAUUUAGUUUUUCGAUCCGAUGAUUAUUUUGCCAUGGUUGACUCCAGGUCGGUAAAUAUUUUAUCAUCAUGGGUGACAGAAAGCUUUGGUGGGAAGAGCAGGCCACAACGUUCCGUCUGUCAACCUCGAAGAAGCUUCCUCACGUCAGUGAACGCAGCGUUGGCCUUGGCCACUCCUGACACGUAGCCAGGGAAGAUUGCAACCUCUGCCUCAUUGUGGCAAAGCUAGCCUCGGGAACGUGCGCACAUCAGAAUCUCCAUUCGGUCUCAUGAAUGUAGCUGCAACUGAGGAUUAUUUUUAUUUUUUUACAAUAAUGUUUAUUCCACUGGUUUAAUGAAACAUUUUGUUAUUCCACAUCUACAGCCCAUAUUUCCUUUGCUUGUUUUUAACAAAAGAACCCUCAGUUAAACAAAUAAGUUUCAGAUUAGACGUUGGCCAUUAAACUGUUUAUUUGGAUGCAAAUGUACGAAGCACCUUUUUAUCUUGAGAUGCGCUGUAUUAAAGAUGCAGAUGGAGUUGCUACAACAUUUCGUUGUUCUUGUUCUUACUUUGCUGAGUUGGAAUUCAGAGAAAUCUGCACGUUAAACUUCUAACAUCAGUGAUGUCACAACUUACUCCUGUUAUGACUGAUUAACGGGUCUAAUUUGUCCUUGGGAUUCUUUCAGAUGGAGAUCUGCCUGCACAUCCCUCUGGGGGUUGAGUGUAAACAGAGGAGAAGGGCACCUAUGUUCAGAUUGCGUCCAAGUUCGGUGUCGAUCAGUGGAAGGCUGACAGGUCAGAUAGCUGGCGACAUUUUAAAUUGUCGUCUUUGGCAGGAUGUCAGUGAAAAGUCUUGACAUAAAACAUUCAGAUUUAAAAUAAAUCCUCAGAGUUCAGAGAGUUUAGUUUCUUUCACCUUUACAUCAAAUGCUUCUAAGUCUACAUUUGACUGAGUAGAAAUGUGACACUGUUGGAGUGUAGGAAAGAGUUUCUUCAGAUUUUGUGUGAACCAAAGAAAAGUAAAAUGUACUUCUGGCGGCAGAAACUCGGAGUGGUUUACUGAUGGUCUCACACCCGGCAUGUUUGUGUGCAUUUCUGUGUGUUGUGCACACGGAGGUGUCCAUGCUUCAUGCAUAAAGAUGUGGUUUCACUGCAAAAAAAGAAAAUCAAAUCAAAAGAUGUUUCAUCUUGAACUUUUGCUUCUUGACAGUGACAGUUAUGACUGGAGAGAAGAAAAAUCCUGUUAAAAAUAAAGAUCUUGAACGUACCACCACCUUCUUUUCAGACUUUUAAACAUCUAAAAACUCUUUGCUGAGAUGGAGUUGAGAAAAACAAAAUGAUGAAGUGUUUUAUGUUCUGAAUUCUAUUUAAGCACGUGGGAGUAACCCCCCCCCACCCCCCCAGGGCUACUUAAAGAUUAAUACAAAUUUGCCGAGCCUUCCCUGUUAAAUUCGUGUUGAUGUCUCCUGUAAAAUGUCUGAUCUAUACCAUCUCACGUCUUGAUACAAUCCUCUAGCUGUCACAUCAAACGGCAAUGUUGAAUCAUUCUCCUGAUUUAUUCAGUGUCUUUCUCCCAUUAAUACACACAUGCACACUCUUUGACGCAGUUAUGGGAUAAUUCAUCAUGAGACAAAGGCCUCUCCCAUGUGAUACUGCUGGUACAAUGAUUAUUCAGCUAGCCCAUUAAAGGGUUUUAUAUCUUAUCAGAAGGCAGCAAAUUAAUAUUACAAAGGAUUAAUGACUUCAUAUACAUUUGUGUGUGUGUGUGUGUGUGUGUGUGUGUGUGUGUGUGUGUGUGUGUGUGUGUGUGUGUGUGUGUGUGUGUGCUGCUCAGUAUGCUGCAUGUCAGCGAGCAGAUUACUGUUGGCAUAUGCUCAACAAUUGUGUGUUGUGAGGCUUUUGGCAUCAUUGUGCUCUGUAAAAAAAUGGUCAUCAGUGGUCCUGGUAGCUGCUGCCAAUCCAUUUACAACAAAUACAUGUUACUGAUGCAUAAAUGACUCUGUCAUUGUUUUCAGUUUGUUUCUAAAAGAUUCGUAUUUCCACCAUUUUGUUCUCAUUUUAGCCUCUCAGACUAAUUGAAAUCCUAAUACUUGUCAGCAUGAGUGCAGCAGGUGGUUUCACAAAAAUAAAUGUUGGCAAACAUGUUUUUUUUGUGUAACUUCUGUAACUAAGUUACAUUAUUGAAUAAAAUGUUGGCUAAAAAGCUAAUGGUGUUGGCCAAUUUGAAGCCAGUUGAUUAGAUGAUGAUUGUUGGCGCUACUUUUUCAAAUGAGCAGUAAAUGCUAAAGCCUUAAAGACCAAGUUCACUGAGAAACUUUUGACUUGUUAUUUUUAAAUUACUCAAAAGUUCACAUGCAGGCUAAAUGUGAAAAUAGUCUUCUACCCCCAUUUCCUGCAUUAGCCACCAAUAAAAAAAAUAGAUGGGGCAAAAUUAGAAUUCAUGGACUCGUCCAUCUUGGCUCAAGACUGUCAUGAUCAGGGGAUGGUUGGACCCAAGUGAAGGAACUCGGACGACACUGGGAUAUGGUGUAAUGAAAAAACAAAGUCUUUAUUUCUGAGUGGU